rnacentral:rRNA from 1 species
UACGUAGGGACCAAGCGUUGUUCGGAUUUACUGGGCGUAAAGGGCGCGUAGGCGGCAAUUCAAGUCAGUUGUGAAAUCUCCGAGCUUAACUCGGAACGGUCAACUGAUACUGCUUUGCUAGAGUACAGAAGGGGCAAUCGGAAUUCUUGGUGUAGCGGUGAAAUGCGUAGAUAUCAAGAGGAACACCUGAGGUGAAGACGGGUUGCUGGGCUGAUACUGACGCUGAGGCGCGAAAGUGUGGGGAGCGAACCGG